rnacentral:lncRNA from 1 species
CACCAGAAUCUCAUUUUACAUUGUGACCCAGUAAGCAUGCAUGAUAAAUCAAAGAAAUAAAACUUUAUGUGAAUUAUUAUGUUCAUUUAUUCAUUAUUGACUAAUGAUACAUAUUUGUUAUUUGAUAGUACAUAUUUAAGUGUAAAAAGAAUUGAAUUGCUUUUAUUUUAUAACUGUGUUCCAAACAUUUUUUCAGUUUGUUGUGACCCAUUAAAAGAUUGCUAUCUGCAAUUUGAAAACCCUGAACUAAACAAUACAAAAACUACUUACACAGCAUUUACAUUGUAUUAGAUAUAAGUAAUCAAGAGAUAAUUUAAAAUAUAUGGGAAAUGUAUUUAGAUUAUAUGCAAAUAUUAUGUCAUUUUAUAUAAAAGACUUAAGCAUUUGUAGAAUUUGUUAUCCAUAGAGGUCUAGGAACCAAUCCUUGCAGAUACAGAAGGAUGACUGGAUAUACCCCAAGUUUCAGGUCCUUGAUUUAUGGGGCUUUGGACAUUAUAUAUAUAUAUAUAUUAAAUUUCCAUUAUUCCCCAAAGUUUCAGUGUUUAGUUUGGAGUUAUGGUUCUUCAGAAGCAAAUUUUUGAAAAAAAACCUUACUUUUUUCAAAAUAAAGCCUAUAUUAUUGAUUUUAAUUAUAAAUGCUUCAUUUAUGUUAGUUAUGUAUGUACAUGACAAUUGCAAUACAUUAUAUACAUUGAUAAAUGAAAAAAAAAAAAAAAGUGUGCUUCAACUUAUGAACAUUUUUUAGUUAUGGG